AUUGAACGCUGGCGGCAGGCCUAACACAUGCAAGUCGAGCGGAUGAAGGGAGCUUGCUCCUGGAUUCAGCGGCGGACGGGUGAGUAAUGCCUAGGAAUCUGCCUGGUAGUGGGGGAUAACGUCCGGAAACGGGCGCUAAUACCGCAUACGUCCUGAGGGAGAAAGUGGGUGAUCUUCGGACCUCACGCUAUCAGAUGAGCCUAGGUCGGAUUAGCUAGUUGGUGGGGUAAAGGCCUACCAAGGCGACGUUCCGUAACUGGUCUGAGAGGAUGAUCAGUCACACUGGAACUGAGACACGGUCCAGAGUCCUAGGGGAGGCAGCAGUGGGGAAUAUUGGACAAUGGGCGAAAGCCUGAUCCAGCCAUGCCGCGUGUUUGAAGAAGGUCUUCGGAUUGUAAAGCACUUUAAGUUGGGAGGAAGGGCAGUAAGUUAAUACCUUGCUGUUUUGACGUUACCAACAUAAUAAGCACCGGCUAACUUCGUG
rnacentral:rRNA from 1 species